UACGUAGGGGGCAAGCGUUAUCCGGAUUUACUGGGCGUAAAGGGAGCGUAGACGGUUGUAUAAGUCUGGAGUGAAAGCCCGGGGCCCAACCCCGGGACUGCUUUGGAAACUGUGUAACUUGAGUACAGGAGGGGCAGGCGGAAUUCCUGGUGUAGCGGUGAAAUGCGUAGAUAUAUGGAGGAACACCGGUGGCGAAAGCGGCUCUCUGGCCUGUAACUGACACUGAGGCUCGAAAGCGUGGGGAGCAAACAGG
rnacentral:rRNA from 1 species